GUGUUGGGCAAUGAACACGGCUG
rnacentral:piRNA from 1 species